AACGAACGCUGGCGGCAGGCUUAACACAUGCAAGUCGAGCGGGGGAGGUUACUUCGGUAACUGACCUAGCGGCGGACGGGUGAGUAAUGCUUAGGAAUCUGCCUAUUAGUGGGGGACAACAUUCCGAAAGGAAUGCUAAUACCGCAUACGCCCUACGGGGGAAAGCAGGGGAUCUUCGGACCUUGCGCUAAUAGAUGAGCCUAAGUCGGAUUAGCUAGUUGGUGGGGUAAAGGCCUACCAAGGCGACGAUCUGUAGCGGGUCUGAGAGGAUGAUCCGCCACACUGGGACUGAGACACGGCCCAGACUCCUACGGGAGGCAGCAGUGGGGAAUAUUGGACAAUGGGGGGAACCCUGAUCCAGCCAUGCCGCGUGUGUGAAGAAGGCCUUUUGGUUGUAAAGCACUUUAAGCGAGGAGGAGGCUCCUUUAGUUAAUACCUAAAGAGAGUGGACGUUACUCGCGGAAUAAGCACCGGCUAACUCUGUGCCAGCCGCCGCGGUAACAC
rnacentral:rRNA from 1 species